rnacentral:tRNA from 1 species
GCCUGGGUGGCUCAGUCGGUUGAGCGUCCGACUUCGGCUCAGGUCAUGAUCUCGCGGUUUGUGAGUUCGAGCCCCGCGUCAGGCU